UACGUAGGAGGCAAGCGUUGUCCGGAAUUACUGGGCGUAAAGCGCGUGUAGGUGGUGGGACAAGUCUGCUGUGAAAGUGCCUGGCUUGACCGGGCGAGGUCGGCGGAAACUGUCCGACUCGAGGACGGUAGAGGGGGGUGGAAUUCCCGGUGUAGUGGUGAAAUGCGUAGAGAUCGGGAAGAACAUCGGUGGCGAAGGCGCUCUACUGGACCACAACUGACACUCAGGGACGAAAGCUAGGGGAGCGAAUGGG
rnacentral:rRNA from 1 species